GUCUUUUUGGAAUUUAUAUAAAGUUUAACCUGCCCAUUGAAAUUUUUUAAAAGGCUGCGGUAUUUUGACCGUACAAAGGUAGCAUAGUCAUUAGUUUUUUAAUUGAAAACUUGUAUGAAUGGUUGAAUGAAAAAUUAACUUUUUUUUUAAAAAUAUUGAAUUUUACUUUUUAAUUAAAAGGUUAAAAUUAAUUUAAAAGACGAGAAGACCCUAUAGAGUUUUAUAAUUGUCAUUAUUUUAUUUAUAAAGUUUAUUUAAAAUUUAAUAUUAAUAAUUAUUUUGUUGGGGUGAUAAUAAAAUUUAAUUAACUUUUAUUUAUUUUAUACAUUAAUAUAUGAUUAUUUGAUCCAUUAUUAAUGAUUAAAAAAUUAAAUUACCUUAGGGAUAACAGCGUAAUUUUUUUUUAAGUUCUUAUUAAUAAAAAAUUUUGCGACCUCGAUGUUGGAUUAAGAUUUAAUUUUAGGUGCAGCAGUUUAAAUUU
rnacentral:rRNA from 1 species